rnacentral:lncRNA from 1 species
AAUUGCUCAAUCGCUCACUCCUCUCUUCUCUUAACGGUAAGCCCACUCUUCUUCUUUCCCAAUCGCUCUCUUUUCUUCUCUCUCAAUCACUCAGUCGUCUCAAUCGCUCACUCCUCUUUAUGGUUUCUUCAUCUCCUUUCUCUUCUCUCUUCGGUUUUGUAUAUUGAUUUAGGGCACUCUCUCCAGUCUCCGGCCACUCAUGAACGCCCCUUUUGCCAGACGUUAUCCAAGACGGCGGAGUUCGGGGUCUAGAAUGUCGAUGAUUUGAUGAACUCGGCUGCCCACUACGAUUUGGAUUCGAUUUGGUGAUUUCAGGGCCUUCUCAAUCCUUCUCCCUUUCAUUUUCUCUCGAGCUCUAUAUUCUCUCCUCUUUUCUGAUGCGAUUAGGUGGCUAAUGAUUUCUUGUUUCAUGGUGGAAGGCCAAGCUAGUCCAGGCGGUAGCGGUGAAUGAGGGUUGGGAGUGAGCGUCUUUAGCCUUUGAAGAACAUGUCAACUUCCAGAGAGGUAGUUUAUAUAUUUGAAUUGUUGCU